UACGAAGGGGGCUAGCGUUGCUCGGAAUCACUGGGCGUAAAGCGCACGUAGGCGGAUCUUUAAGUCAGGGGCGAAAUCCUGGAGCUCAACUCCAGAACUGCCUUUGAUACUGAGGAUCUUGAGUCCGGGAGAGGUGAGUGGAACUCCGAGUGUAGAGGUGAAAUUCGUAGAUAUUCGGAAGAACACCAGUGGCGAAGGCGGCUCACUGGCCCGGUACUGACGCUGAGGUGCGAAAGCGUGGGGAGCAAACAGG
rnacentral:rRNA from 1 species